rnacentral:rRNA from 1 species
AGAGAAUAGAUACCCGGGUAGUCCUGGCCGUAAACGAUGUCCACUAGAUCCUGGCGCCUCUGACGGCGUCGGGGUCGAAAGUAAAAAAAAUGGUAAGUGGACCGCCUGGGAAGUACGGUCGCAAGGCUAAAACUCAAAGAAAUUGACGGGGGCUCACACAAGCGGUGGAGCAUGUGGUUCGAUUCGAAGCAACGCGCAGAACCUUACCUGGGCUUGACAUGCUUGGAUUACCUCCAUGAAAGUGGAGUAGGCCCCGCAAGGGGAACAACAAGUACAGGUGCUGCAUGGCUGUCGUCAGCUCGUGUCGUGAGAUGUCGGGUUAAGUCCCUUAACGAGCGAAACCUUUGCCCUUAGUUACCAUCGGGUCAUGCCGGGGACUCUAAGGGGACUGCCGGUGUCAAACCGGA